rnacentral:rRNA from 1 species
CGUAGGCAGUCUUGCAAGUCGGAUGUUAAAUUUAUCGGCUCAACCGGUAACCGCAUCCGAAACUGCAAAACUAGAGAAUGGUAGAGGUAAACGGAAUUUCAGGUGUAGCGGUGAAAUGCGUAGAUAUCUGAAAGAACACCAGUGGCGAAGGCGGUUUACUGGGCCAUUUCUGACGCUGAGGCGCGAAAGCUAGGGGAGCAAACG